rnacentral:rRNA from 1 species
AGCGAACGCUGGCGGCAGGCCUAACACAUGCAAGUCGAACGAACUCUUCGGAGUUAGUGGCGUACGGGUGAGUAACACGUGGGAACGUUCCUUUUGGUUCGGCAUAACUCAGGGAAACUUGUGCUAAUACCGAAUGUGCCCUUCGGGGGAAAGAUUUAUCGCCAUUAGAGCGGCCCGCGUCUGAUUAGCUAGUUGGUGAGGUAACGGCUCACCACGGCGACGAUCAGUAGCUGGUCUGAGAGGAUGACCAGCCACACUGGGACUGAGACACGGCCCAGAAUCCUACGGGAAGCAGCAGUGGGGAAUCUUGCGAAAUGGGCGAAAGCCUGACGCAGCCAUGCCGCGUGAAUGAUGAAGGUCUUAGGAUUGUAAAAUUCUUUCACCGGGGACGAUAAUGACGGUACCCGGAGAAGAAGCCCCGGCUAACUUCGUG